CUUGCUAGAUGAUGUCGAGUGGCGGACGGGUGAGUAAUGCUUGGGAACUUGCCUUUGCGAGGGGGAUAACAGUUGGAAACGACUGCUAAUACCGCAUAAUGUCUUCGGACCAAACGGGGCUUCGGCUCCGGCGCAAAGAGAGGCCCAAGUGAGAUUAGCUAGUUGGUGAGGUAAAGGCUCACCAAGGCAACGAUCUCUAGCUGUUCUGAGAGGAAGAUCAGCCACACUGGGACUGAGACACGGCCCAGACUCCUACGGGAGGCAGCAGUGGGGAAUAUUGCACAAUGGGGGAAACCCUGAUGCAGCCAUGCCGCGUGUGUGAAGAAGGCCUUCGGGUUGUAAAGCACUUUCAGUUGUGAGGAAAAGUUAGUAGUUAAUACCUGCUAGCCGUGACGUUAACAACAGAAGAAGCACCGGCUAACUCCGUGCCAGCAGCCGCGGUAAUACGGAGGGUGCGAGCGUUAAUCGGAAUUACUGGGCGUAAAGCGCACGCAGGCGGUUUGUUAAGCUAGAUGUGAAAGCCCCGGGCUCAACCUGGGACGGUCAUUUAGAACUGGCAGACUAGAGUCUUGGAGAGGGGAGUGGAAUUCC
rnacentral:rRNA from 1 species